GACGAACGCUGGCGGCGUGCUUAACACAUGCAAGUCGAACGGCAACGCCCUGCUUUUUUGCUGUUCUCGAGUGGCGAACGGGUUCGUAUCACUUGUGUAACCUGCCCUUGACUUUCGGAUAACUUCACGAAACUGGGGCUAAUACCGUAUCGGAUCUCCUUCUCCAUGGUGGGUGUUGGAACGUUUCUGCGUUUGGGGAUGGACUCGCGGCUUAUCAGCUUGUUGGUGGGGUAGUUGCUUACCAAGGCUUUCACCGGUAUCCGGCCUGAGAUGGUGACCGGGCACAAGGGGACUGAGAGACGGACCAGAGUCGUACGAGAGGCAGCAGGGGGGAAGAUAGCACAAAGGGCCGAAGCAGGAUGCAGCAACGCCGCGUGGGGGAUGACGGUCUGCGGGGAGAAAACAGCUUACGGCUGAGACGAAGAGUGAGUGAAGGUAACGGAUAAAGAAGCACCGGCUAACUACGUG
rnacentral:rRNA from 1 species